CUUCUCGUGUGUGGUUAUCCCUAAUUCACUACCAUUUAGUGUGUAAGUUGCUUGUGCAUUCUUAAUCCCGAAGUGCAUAACUUUGCAUUUCUCUAUGUUAAAUUUCAUCUGCCAUUUUAGUGCCCAGUCCCCUAAUCUAUCCAAAUCUCUCUGCAGCAAAGCAAUAUCCUGCUCACAUUUUAUUAUUUUACAAAGUUUUGUGUCAUCUGCAAACACUGAUACAUGACUUUCAAUUUUUUAGUUUGAAGACUAACCUAUUGUGAGGACCCGUAUCAAAUGCCUUGGCAAAAUCCAAGUAGAUCACAUCCACUGUAACACCCUGAUCUAUACUUCUACUUACUUCUUCGUAGAAUGCAAUUAGGUUAGUUUGACAUGACCUAUGUUUCAUAAAACCAUGCUGAUUAUUGCUAAUAACAAAGUUCUUCCCAAUGAAUUCCUGAAUAUUAUCCCUUAAUAGCCCUUCAAAUAUUUUCCCAGUUACAGAAGUUAAGCUCACAGGUCUAUAAUUUCCAGGCAAGGAUUUUGAGCCCUUUUUAAAUAUAGGAAAAACAUCUGCCUUCCUCCAAUCCUCCGGUACAACACCUGAAACAAAAGAAUCUUGAAAAAUUAAAUACAUAGGUUCGCUUAUUUCCCCACUUAGCUCCUUAAGUACUCAUGGGUGAAUAACAUCAGGCCCCGGGGCUUUAUUUACAUUAAUUUUCUUUAAUAGCUGUAGCACCUUGUCUCGAGUUAUCCAAUCACAAGUUAUUUGCAAGUUUUUUGCAGCAAUCAUUUGCAUAUCUCUUGCCAUAGGAUCCUCAUUAAUAUAUACUGAAGAAAAAUAGUUAUUUAAAAUGUCUGCUUUUUCCUGGUCUUCAUUAGCUAAUAAACCCAACUCUGUUUCAAAUGUAC